GUGGGAGGGGUUAUGGGGGGGGGGGCGCGGCGGUAGGUGAGCCUCGGGCCCGGUAUCCGGAGCCCCAACAGCGCGCGGGAUGGGCGAGAUGAAGUGCCACCGCACCUCCUGCCAGUGCAAACUACUGUCAUUACUAUAUUUUUUGUACACUGGUUUUACUGUUUCCCAUUGCUUAUCCUUCUACCAAUUUUCUGAUUCUUAUUAUAGCAAUAUCAUUUAAUACCAAGCACUCACAUUCACCUAUGUUCAUAUUUAAACUUCUUGCAUUUGUAUUCAGGCAUUUAUAAAAUUUGACAGUGUUUCAUUUUCUGCCUUCAUGUGAUGUAGGAAUAUUAUCUCCAGCCUGGUUAUGGAGGAAAAUGCCAUGGUCAGGAGUGAAUGAUGUUGCUGUAUUGCUCUCAGUGUUUGUAAAAGUGCUUUUGGCAGGAGGAGAAUUACCACCUUUCACGGGUACCUUUACUUGUUUUCAACUGUCAGGUCACAUGUGGAUCUAGAGUUGCAUCUGCUUACAUCGUGUGUGAAUUUGGCUCAAAGGAUGGAGGUAGAACCUUCAUAAAAUAUUAAACAGCUGAUAGUGAUUUUAAUACAAAUAUGUAUUAAAAAUGAGAAAAUAGUGUAAUGGAGCUCAACAUUUCUCUUAAUUAGAGAAUCUCAUGGAGUACAAUGAUUUGUAAUGUUUGAUUUAAAACAAAUGAGUUCAUAGUUUCAUAUUUGUAUCAGGAAGCAGUUAACAAAAAAUAAAUAAAUUGCAAAGCAAGCUAAUGUUUUAGGAUCUGAAAUUUCGUUACCAUAAAUCCCACUCAUGUGAUCUUGUUAAAAUCAGUAAAGUCUAUCAUUUAAUUACCUAAAUCACAUUUUAUAGAAUUGAUAUUUAAUUUUCAAAUUAAACACUGAGGUUUACAGAUUCACAUUAGCAAAUUAAUUACUUAAACAAAGAGUAUAUACAGCAUAGGACAAUUCUGAUCUCACUAAUACUGGUCAAUGGAGUUCAUUUGGAUUUAAAGAGCAGAAUUUGGACUUUAGGGCUCAGUUGUGUGCUCAUAUACAGAGGCAAGUAUUUCUGCUUCUUGUAUGCAUAGUUAAUUUUACUUGGUCAGGCUUCUACUCAGGGCACCCUCCUCUUUACCUCUUGACUGCAGUAUUCCCUUAAAAUCAAUAUAAGGAGUGAGUGAAUUUUGGUGCCGUUCCUAUUGUCUGAACAGUUCAAUGUAGCCUCACUGUUUGUGCACAUCAGUGAAGGUUUGUGUACUAGUCAUGUGUAAAUAGUUGUUUAUGCAAAGUAUCAUUAAAUGUUUUUUGAAAAUUUAGCUAUCAGCUGUUUAGUAUUUUAACUCCCAUAAGAGAUGGUCAUUAUUUAUACAACUAUAAAACAAUUUUUAUUUAGAUUAGUUAGCUAAAGGACUGGGGCUCCUAUGCAACUCUAAUACAACCACUACUAAUAAAAAGGCAAUGAAGUAUGUGUGUAAGCAGGAGAAGGAACAGAAAGAAAGAAGGGGGAGUGGAGACAAAAGAUACAACUUGGCUUUCCUCCUUCUAUUGGGCAUCUUUAUGGAUUCACUGAUGGAUGACCAAGGAAGAAAACAAAAAGAAACCCUUUGAGAUUUUUGAAGAUGAAUGGGCUCAAUUCCUGAAGAACUUGGACAGAUGAAUCUGAUACAUGAGGAAAUUAAAGCACGUUACACUUUAUAGACAGUAACUGGAAACACUUAAGGAAAAC